CUCAAUCGAACCACUUUUCCAAAGGGCUUCGUUUUCGGGACAGCAUCCUCGGCUUACCAGAUGGAAAGGUUGGUGCAAACGAGGAGGGUGUAAACCAAGAAGGAAUCGAUUAUUACAAUCGCCUCAUUGAUCAUCUCACAGCCAACGGUCAAUGUCCAUGUUUUCCUCUCUUGGUUUUUCUUCGAUAAAACUUCUAUUUUAUAAUAUAUAUUUUUUUAAGUGAAUGAGAUAUUGAUUUAAAUAUUAAUGUUGGAGGUCUAAAACCAUAUGUGACACUUUUUCACUGGGAUCUUUCCCUAGCUUUAGAAGAGGAGUAUGGAGGUUUUCUAUCCUAUAAUAUUGUAAUAACCACUUCUCGGGUGAGUUCUCUUCGAGUAUCACUUGCCUCGCUCGUCUCACUCGCUUGGAUUAUCCUCCAACAACUUCAACAGUCAAAUCCCUUUCUCCGUCAACAACUUAACCCACCUCAUCGGUCUCUUCUUGGAACACAACCCUCGCAGGAAACGUAGAUCUCUGUGGCCCGUAGUUGAAGGCUUGCAACCCCUUCUUCCCGGCUCCAGCACCGUCUCCCUCCUCCAAUUCAGCCCCGGCCACGACGCUGGGACAUGCGUGUUCGGAAAUGUGAAAUCCGAGGUAGAUGUUUGAGGGUGUGGAUUCGGAGUGUGGUGAUCUCAUUUGGGGUUUGGACUCGAGUUCGAAACGAGAGAACUGGUGUUCCAUGGAAGUAGUUGGGAAGUCGAGAAAGUCAGAGAAAAAAUGGUCCAUUGUUUCAAAUGAGUGAGAAGUUGAAGAUUGGUAACAGAUGGAGUUUGAUUGAGAUGAGGUGGGAUUUGGUUCCUCAAAUAGAAAAGAGAAGUUAUUUUUGGUGACAUCAGAAGAGGAUGUGAUUGGAAGAGGAGAGAAUUCUCCGAGAAGGUGCAGUUUUAUUUGAUUGAGAGCAGAAAGUUGAAGAGGAUUUAGGUUUGCCAUACAGCUGUUGAAAAUAUACUGUUAUAUUGUUAUUAAAUUUUCAACAUGCUAGUUUUUUAUUUGAAAACAAUGUUCCUCUGUAAAUAAAAAGAAACAGAAAAAAGUGAAAAAAAAUCGUGAAACUUAUUUGUUAGGCUUUGUUCUUUUGGAGUGAUUUGGGGGAGAUGAUUUGAAUGGAUUUGAGUGGAUUUGAAGGUAAUUUUUUUGUUGUUUUUUGAGUGGAUUUGUGGGUAAUUGAAAGUGGA
rnacentral:sRNA from 1 species